CCCUCCUCUUGGACAUAUUUUGGGACAUCAAUUUUGAUUAGAAAUGUUUCCCUCGUUGGCAAGAACCUCCCAGAUCAACUCAGGAUCAAAAGAAGGCAUUCUUGCGAGCGAGCAGCCAUCAAAAUCAUUGUUCUCUGGCAUCAUCAUUGGAUAAUCUGUAGAAACAGAUGGGGAAGAAUUUUCACAUUUCCAUAACCCAUCUUCAGAUACUGUUGGUGAGAGCAAUUCACCACCCCAGUUGUCACCAAAAACAAUAGGUGACAAAGAUGAUGAGGUUGCCGAUGACGAAUUUGAGUUUACCUUCACCACUUUAUCACCACCCUCAAAAUCAUUAGAAUCAAGGUUACUCUUCUUCGCUGUGCUCUUUUUGGACCUCUCUCUUUUCACCUUUUGGCAAAUAGCAUGAAUCUUGGCGUCCACUGAACUCUUCAAAGCAUCCAUUCUAUUGCAAUCUGUGAAUCCUAACUUGCUGGGAUCCUUUAGAUUUGGGAAAUUCAAUCGCGCAUAUUCGCCUCUAAGCUUAUAAGCAGCACGAUCAUAAGCAUAAGCUGCAGCUUCUGCAGUCUGGUAAGUACCUAACCAGACUCUUAUUCUGUUUUGAGGGAGUCUUAUCUCCGCUACCCAUUUCCCCCAAUGCCUCUGCCUGACUCCCCUGUAUAGUUUCUUCUUAGUUGGACUUGGAGUUAAAUAAUUGCUUGCCCGCACUGAAUUUUGAAGUGAGCUUGUCAGCAAAUUGCGAGAAAACGAACUACUGCUACUUCUUCUGUUUUCAUCGCAAAAUUUUUGCAAGAGAUCUCUCUGGCGGAGAUAGACUGAAGAACCUAAAGGCUCAGAAAGAGGGUCGCUAAUGGUGUUUUCUGGAGGGCAAUGGGAGAAAAUUGAAUCUAACGGGUUACUGCCUCCAGCCAAUUUGAGUUGCGAUAGCGAGGACCCGAUAUCGGCAGUAUUGGCGAAUCCAAAAGGAACGUUUUCUUGCAUUCUGUCCAUGGUUUGUCAAAAUUUUUAUGGAGAUUGUGUUGCUACCUGAACAGACGAAACAGAGAGAAAUCGAAAUGAAAAUGAAUGUGAAAGAAACAGGAACUCAAAAAAUUUGUCCCUUCUCCUCCUUCAAGAAUAAAAAAUGCGUUCCCGGAAGAAACCAGAUGCAAGCAAAAACAGCAAAGCUAUGAUCUAACUUGAAAACAGAGUGAUUUGAAGAAACAUGCGAAUUAAAGAAAAUAUCGAAGAGAAUUAGAGAGAGAGAUUAAAGCUG
rnacentral:misc_RNA from 1 species